GGGUUGUGAGGUUAAGCGACUAAGCGUACACGGUGGAUGCCCUGGCAGUCAGAGGCGAUGAAGGACGUGCUAAUCUGCGAUAAGCGUCGGUAAGGUGAUAUGAACCGUUAUAACCGGCGAUUUCCGAAUGGGGAAACCCAGUGUGUUUCGACACACUAUCAUUAACUGAAUCCAUAGGUUAAUGAGGCGAACCGGGGGAACUGAAACAUCUAAGUACCCCGAGGAAAAGAAAUCAACCGAGAUUCCCCCAGUAGCGGCGAGCGAACGGGGAGCAGCCCAGAGCCUGAAUCAGUGUGUGUGUUAGUGGAAGCGUCUGGAAAGGCGCGCGAUACAGGGUGACAGCCCCGUACACAAAAAUGCACAUGCUGUGAGCUCGAUGAGUAGGGCGGGACACGUGGUAUCCUGUCUGAAUAUGGGGGGACCAUCCUCCAAGGCUAAAUACUCCUGACUGACCGAUAGUGAACCAGUACCGUGAGGGAAAGGCGAAAAGAACCCCGGCGAGGGGAGUGAAAAAGAACCUGAAACCGUGUACGUACAAGCAGUGGGAGCACGCUUAGGCGUGUGACUGCGUACCUUUUGUAUAAUGGGUCAGCGACUUAUAUUCUGUAGCAAGGUUAACCGAAUAGGGGAGCCGAAGGGAAACCGAGUCUUAACUGGGCGUUAAGUUGCAGGGUAUAGACCCGAAACCCGGUGAUCUAGCCAUGGGCAGGUUGAAGGUUGGGUAACACUAACUGGAGGACCGAACCGACUAAUGUUGAAAAAUUAGCGGAUGACUUGUGGCUGGGGGUGAAAGGCCAAUCAAACCGGGAGAUAGCUGGUUCUCCCCGAAAGCUAUUUAGGUAGCGCCUCGUGAAUUCAUCUCCGGGGGUAGAGCACUGUUUCGGCAAGGGGGUCAUCCCGACUUACCAACCCGAUGCAAACUGCGAAUACCGGAGAAUGUUAUCACGGGAGACACACGGCGGGUGCUAACGUCCGUCGUGAAGAGGGAAACAACCCAGACCGCCAGCUAAGGUCCCAAAGUCAUGGUUAAGUGGGAAACGAUGUGGGAAGGCCCAGACAGCCAGGAUGUUGGCUUAGAAGCAGCCAUCAUUUAAAGAAAGCGUAAUAGCUCACUGGUCGAGUCGGCCUGCGCGGAAGAUGUAACGGGGCUAAACCAUGCACCGAAGCUGCGGCAGCGACGCUUAUGCGUUGUUGGGUAGGGGAGCGUUCUGUAAGCCUGUGAAGGUGUGCUGUGAGGCAUGCUGGAGGUAUCAGAAGUGCGAAUGCUGACAUAAGUAACGAUAAAGCGGGUGAAAAGCCCGCUCGCCGGAAGACCAAGGGUUCCUGUCCAACGUUAAUCGGGGCAGGGUGAGUCGACCCCUAAGGCGAGGCCGAAAGGCGUAGUCGAUGGGAAACAGGUUAAUAUUCCUGUACUUGGUGUUACUGCGAAGGGGGGACGGAGAAGGCUAUGUUGGCCGGGCGACGGUUGUCCCGGUUUAAGCGUGUAGGCUGGUUUUCCAGGCAAAUCCGGAAAAUCAAGGCUGAGGCGUGAUGACGAGGCACUACGGUGCUGAAGCAACAAAUGCCCUGCUUCCAGGAAAAGCCUCUAAGCAUCAGGUAACAUCAAAUCGUACCCCAAACCGACACAGGUGGUCAGGUAGAGAAUACCAAGGCGCUUGAGAGAACUCGGGUGAAGGAACUAGGCAAAAUGGUGCCGUAACUUCGGGAGAAGGCACGCUGAUAUGUAGGUGAGGUCCCUCGCGGAUGGAGCUGAAAUCAGUCGAAGAUACCAGCUGGCUGCAACUGUUUAUUAAAAACACAGCACUGUGCAAACACGAAAGUGGACGUAUACGGUGUGACGCCUGCCCGGUGCCGGAAGGUUAAUUGAUGGGGUUAGCGCAAGCGAAGCUCUUGAUCGAAGCCCCGGUAAACGGCGGCCGUAACUAUAACGGUCCUAAGGUAGCGAAAUUCCUUGUCGGGUAAGUUCCGACCUGCACGAAUGGCGUAAUGAUGGCCAGGCUGUCUCCACCCGAGACUCAGUGAAAUUGAACUCGCUGUGAAGAUGCAGUGUACCCGCGGCAAGACGGAAAGACCCCGUGAACCUUUACUAUAGCUUGACACUGAACAUUGAGCCUUGAUGUGUAGGAUAGGUGGGAGGCUU
rnacentral:rRNA from 1 species